CCUACGGGAGGCAGCAGUGGGGAAUAUUGCACAAUGGGGGAAACUCUGAUGCAGCGACGCCGCGUGAGUGAAGAAGUCAUUCGUUACGUAAAGCUCUAUCAGCAGGGAAGUAAAUGACGGUACCUGAGUAACAUGCCCCGGCUACCUACGUGCCAGCAGCCGCGGUAAUACGUAGGGGGCAAGCGUUAUCCGGAUUUACUGGGUGUAAUGGGAGCGUAGACGGUGCGCUAAGUGUGGAGUGAAAGGCCGCAGCUUAACUGCGGAACUGCUGUGGAAACUGGAGAACUAGAGUGCGGGAGGGGUAAGCGGAAUUCCUAGUGUAGCGGUGAAAUGCGUAGAUAUUAGGAGGAACACCGAUGGCGAAGGCAGGUGACUGGACCGUAACUGACGUUGAGGCUCGAAAGCGUGGGGAGCAAACAGGAUUAGAUACCCGAGUAGUC
rnacentral:rRNA from 1 species